rnacentral:miRNA from 1 species
UGGUAUUGUUUCGGCUCAUG